rnacentral:rRNA from 1 species
AUGCACGCUGGCGGCGUGCCUCAUACAUUCAAGUCGAGCGCACGGACGAGAAGCUUGCUUCUCUGAUGUUAGCGGCGGACGGGUGAGUAACACGUGGAUAACCUACCUAUAAGACUGGGAUAACUUCGGGAAACCGGAGCUAAUACCGGAUAAUAUUUUGAACCGCAUGGUUCAAAAGUAAAAGACGGUCUUGCUGUCACUUAUAGAUGGAUCCGCGCUGCAUUAGCUAGUUGGUAAGGUAACGGCUUACCAAGGCAACGAUGCAUAGCCGACCUGAGAGGGUGAUCGGCCACACUGGAACUGAGACACGGUCCAGACUCCUACGGGAGGCAGCAGUAGGGAAUCUUCCGCAAUGGGCGAAAGCCUGACGGAGCAACGCCGCGUGAGUGAUGAAGGUCUUCGGAUCGUAAAACUCUGUUAUUAGGGAAGAACAUAUGUGUAAGUAACUGUGCACAUCUUGACGGUACCUAAUCAGAAAGCCACGGCUAACUACGUG